rfam:TPA: Bos taurus chromosome 17, whole genome shotgun sequence.
UCCCUGGCGGUUCAGUGGCUAAGACUCUGCACUUUCAAUGCAGGGGGCACAGGUUUGAUCCCUGCCCAGGGAA